AGCGAACGCUGGCGGCAGGCCUAACACAUGCAAGUCGAACGAACCCUUCGGGGUUAGUGGCGGACGGGUGAGUAACACGUGGGAACGUGCCAUUAGGUUCGGAAUAAUUCAGGGAAACUUGUGCUAAUACCGAAUGUGCCCUUCGGGGGAAAGAUUUAUCGCCUUUAGAGCGGCCCGCGUCUGAUUAGCUAGUUGGUGAGGUAAUGGCUCACCAAGGCUAAGAUCAGUAGCUGGUCUGAGAGGAUGACCAGCCACAUUGGGACUGAGACACGGCACAAGUGCCGACUGGUGGCAGCUGGGGGGAAGAUUGAACAAUGGAGGAAAGCCGCACGAAGCAAUGCCGCGUGGAUGAUGAAGGUCUUAGUAUUGUAAAAGCCUUUCCCCGGUGAAGAUAUUGACUGUAGCGGGAGAAGAAGCCCCGGCUAACUUCGUGCCAGCCGCCGCGGUAAAAC
rnacentral:rRNA from 1 species